ACGCCGGUGCCUAAACGGGUAGCAUGCUUGCCUUUCAUUCACCUCGUUUCAUUUUCUGCAAGAGGGAGGGGUUCGAUUCUCCUUCGGCGUA
rnacentral:tRNA from 1 species